AGCUGCAAAAGGUAGAUUUAUAACGUCGAAACAGUGCACAAGUAUUUCAUCUCAAGUCAUGUUGAUAAUAUUUUGUGUGAUUUUGAUGCUGUCUGUGGCUGACACAGAGUCGAUGCCUGAUGGGAGUAAAACUGGCACUGUACCAAAAGAAAUAAAAUGUCCACCAUUGACAACUUUCGGUAGAGGAGGAAUACUAAGCAUGUGUGACCAAGGCACACGGUGUAGUGAUGACGCCCAAUGUGACAUGAAGUCGAGGUGUUGUCCUACCAGAUGUGGUUUUAGUAUGUGCCUGUAAUUAUAAAAGGAUUGCCAUAUGAUGCGUGAAAUUUAUACUGGCGUAACAUUGAGCAAGGUCUUUGUGUGUUGCAGAUCUUUCCUGGACUUUGUUGGAAUUUUUUAAAUAACAUUAACACAGUGAAUUUCUUUUGUAAAACCUUGCAUAAUGAUUUCUUUAAAUAGUAUAUUAAUCUUUAUAUAUUUAUCCAUUAUAAUAAAUUUAUU